UUCGAUGAUACGCGAGGAACCUUACCUGGGCUCAAAUGUAUGUUGACGUAUUCUGAAAGGGAUACUUCUUCGGACAAUAUACAAGGUGCUGCAUGGUUGUCGUCAGCUCGUGCCGUGAGGUGUCGGGUUAAGUCCCAUAACGAGCGCAACCCCUAUCAUUAGUUGCCAUCAGGUCAAGCUGGGGACUCUAAUGAAACUGCCUACGCAAGUAGUGAGGAAGGUGGGGAUGACGUCAAAUCAGCACGGCCCUUACGUCCAGGGCUACACACGUGCUACAAUGGCCGGUACAAAGGGCAGCUACCUGGUGACAGGAUGCUAAUCUCAAAAGCCGGUCUCAGUUCGGAUCGGAGUCUGCAACCCGACUCCGUGAAGCUGGAAUCGCUAGUAAUCGUGAAUCAGAACUGUCACGGUAGAAUACGUUCCCGGGCCUU
rnacentral:rRNA from 1 species